rnacentral:rRNA from 1 species
UGAACGCUGGCGGCGUGCCUAAUACAUGCAAGUCGAGCGAACAGACGAGGAGCUCGCUCCUCUGACGUUAGCGGCGGACGGGUGAGUAACACGUGGAUAACCUACCUAUAAGACUGGGAUAACUUCGGGAAACCGGAGCUAAUACCGGAUAAUAUAUUGAACCGCAUGGUUCAAUAGUGAAAGACGGUUUUGCUGUCACUUAUAGAUGGAUCCGCGCCGCAUUAGCUAGUUGGUAAGGUAACGGCUUACCAAGGCAACGAUGCGUAGCCGACCUGAGAGGGGAGUAGGCACAAAUGGAACUGAUACACGGUCCAGACCCCUACGGGAGGCAGCAGUGGGGAAUCUUCCGCAAUUGGCGAAAGCAUGACGGAGCACAGCCGGAUGAGUGAUGAAGGUCUUCGGAUCGUAAAACUCUUUUAUUAGGGAAGAACAAAGGUGUAAGUAACUAGGCACGUCUUGACGGUACCUAAUCAGAAAGCCACGGCUAACUACGUG